UGGGGAAUUUUGGACAAUGGGCGCAAGCCUGAUCCAGCCAUGCCGCGUGCGGGAAGAAGGCCUUCGGGUUGUAAACCGCUUUGUCAGGGAAGAAAUCUUCUGAGUUAAUACCUCGGGAGGAUGACGGUACCUGAAGAAUAAGCACCGGCUAACUACGUGCCAGCAGCCGCGGUAAUACGUAGGGUGCAAGCGUUAAUCGGAAUACUGGGCGUAAAGCGUGCGCAGGCGGUUUUGUAAGACAGAGGUGAAAUCCCCGGGCUCAACCUGGGAACUGCCUUUGUGACUGCAAGGCUUGAGUGCGGCAGAGGGGGAUGGAAUUCCGCGUGUAGCAGUGAAAAUGCGUAGAUAUGCGGAGGAACACCGAUGGCGAAGGCAAUCCCCUGGGCCUGCACUGACGCUCAUGCACGAAAGCGUGGGGAGCAAACAGGAUUAGAUACCCUGGUAGUCCACGCCCUAAAACGAUGUCAACUGGUUGUUGGGAAGGUUCCUUCUCAGUAACGUAGCUAACGCGUG
rnacentral:rRNA from 1 species